rnacentral:rRNA from 1 species
GGUUGAUCCUGCCAGUAGUCAUAUGCUUGUCUCAAAGAUUAAGCCAUGCAUGUCCAAGUAUAAAUGGUUAUACACAGUGAAACUGCGAAUGGCUCAUUAAAUCAGUUAUAGUUUAUUUGAAGGUACCUUACUACUUGGAUAACCGUGGUAAUUCUAGAGCUAAUACAUGCAGCAGGCCCCGACUUUUGGAAGGGGUGUAUUUAUUAGAUACAAAAACCAGAUGUGAUACUUGCAAAAGCAUCACAAUUACAAUUGGUGAUUCAUGAUAACUGAUCGAAUCGCACAACACUCGA